rnacentral:snoRNA from 21 species
UUUCAUGAUGAACCCCAAUUCAUAAGCAUAGUUCAACUGAAGGUCUCCGGAUCCUGAACGACAACCUAUCCAUCUUUCACUUUUUCUGAAA